UGCUGGGCGCUUGCUGGGCAAGCCAGGCGAUGGGAGGCCAACUUUACUACUCAAUGAAAAUUGCUUUACAAGCCUAAAGCUUACAAGAGAGUAAUAAAGUGGGCUAAAUGUACAAGAACACUCUAAGAAGCUUUGGUAUGGCUUGGAUGCUUGUUGAGACCAUUGGAUGUCCAAAUGAAGGCCAAAGACCCCUAUUUAUAGCCUUCAUGCCGACUUGGAGUGAUUUGGGCGGC
rnacentral:misc_RNA from 1 species